UACAGAGGGGGGCAAGCGUUGUUCGGAAUUACUGGGCGUAAAGGGCGCGUAGGCGGCCUGUUAAGUCGGACGUGAAAUCCCCGGGCUCAACCCGGGAACUGCGUCCGAUACUGGCAGGCUUGAAUCCGGGAGAGGGAUGUGGAAUUCCAGGUGUAGCGGUGAAAUGCGUAGAUAUCUGGAGGAACACCGGGUGGCGAAGGCGGCGAUCCUGG
rnacentral:rRNA from 1 species